AUCCAUUUAGGGUUCAUAAGCAUGAUAACCAGUUUUCAUGCCAUUGUGUGAGAUGUGCCUC
rnacentral:snoRNA from 1 species